rnacentral:lncRNA from 1 species
CUGUGAGAUGGACCUGUUGUGUCAAAGAGGGAGCCCAGGAAAAGGACAAAGUGCUGGAGUGAAGGAGAUGGUGCAGAGGUCACUGCAGGCACCUGCUGUUUCUGGAACUUUCUGUUUUGAGGUAUAUGCUGACUUUGGACAGGUUCAGUGCCUUCAGCAGCUUUUGCAGGGUGCCAGGUCCACAAUCUGGUUUAACAAAGGCCACUAG